GGAUAACCUGCCCUUGGGACUGGCAUAACCCCGGGAAACUGGGGAUAAUUCCGGAUAACGCAUAUGUGCUGGAAUGCUUUAUGCGUAAAAUGGAUUCGUCCGCCCAAGGAUGGGUCUGCGGCCUAUCAGGUAGUAGUGGGUGUAAUGUACCUACUAGCCAGCGACGGGUACGGGUUGUGAGAGCAAGAGCCCGGAGAUGGAUUCUGAGACAUGAAUCCAGGCCCUACGGGGCGCAGCAGGCGCGAAAACUUUACAAUGCGGGAAACCGUGAUAAGGGGACACCGAGUGUCAGCAUCAUAUGCUGGCUGUCCAGGUGUGUAAAAUACACCUGUUAGCAAGGGCCGGGCAAGACCGGUGCCAGCCGCCGCGGUAACACCGGCGGCCCGAGUGGUGAUCGUGAUUAUUGGGUCUAAAGGGUCCGUAGCCGGUUUGGUCAGUCCUCCGGGAAAUCUGAUGGCUCAACCAUUAGGCUUUCGGGGGAUACUGCCAGGCUUGGAACCGGGAGAGGUAAGAGGUACUACAGGGGUAGGAGUGAAAUCUUGUAAUCCCUGUGGGACCACCUGUGGCGAAGGCGUCUUACCAGAACGGGUUCGACGGUGAGGGACGAAAGCUGGGGGCACGAACCGGAUUAGAUACCCGGGUAGUCCCAGCCGUAAACGAUGCAGACUCGGUGAUGGGUUGGCCUCGAGCCAACCCAGUGCCGCAGGGAAGCCGUUAAGUCUGCCACCUGGGAAGUACGGCCGCAAGGCUGAAACUUAA
rnacentral:rRNA from 1 species